UACAGAGGUCCCAAGCGUUGUUCGGAUUCACUGGGCGUAAAGGGUGCGUAGGUGGUGGGGUAAGUCGGAUGUGAAAGCUCGGAGCUCAACUCCGAAAUGGCAUUGGAAACUACCCUGCUAGAGGAUUGGAGGGGGGACUGGAAUACUUGGUGUAAGCAGUGAAAUGCGUAGAUAUCAAGUGGAACACCAGUGGCGAAGGCGAGUCCCUGGACAAUACCUGACACUGAGGCACGAAAGCUAGGGGAGCAAACAGG
rnacentral:rRNA from 1 species